rnacentral:lncRNA from 1 species
CUUCCGGGGGCUCUUUAUCUACUUUAUUAUUUGUAAAAGCUUUGGAGAGAUGCAGACGGGGACACAGGGAGACGGCGCUGCCAGCGGGGCUGGAGAAAGUGCAGCAGAGCGGCAGCUGAGCCACAGGCUGAAGGAUUUAGGGGCUCCCAGGGCCCGCGGCAUAAUCGGGUUUGGCAACCUCAGCCCCGGGCUGCACCGGGGGCCUUGCAGUCCCGUGCAGGACCUGGCGGGCAGCAGCUGCGGCCGUGUCCCGGGAGGCUGGACACCCGCAUGUGUCCUAGCCCUCCGCACCCACGCUGGCCCUUGGAUGGGUGCUGUCCUCUGGAUCCUGGCUGGCUCUCCGAGCACACGCGGUCCCUCUGGCUGCAUGCUGUUCCCUGGAUGCACGCUGUCUGCCUGGAUGCAGGCUGUCCCUGUGGACAUAUGCUGUCCCUCCAGAUACAUGCUGUCCCCCGGAUGCAGGCUGUGCCCCCAGACACAUGCUGGCCCUCCAGACACGUGUUGUUCCCUGGAUGCAUGCAGUCCCUCCGGAUGCAUGUGGUCCCUCCGGACACAUGCGGUCCCUCCCCCUCCAGACACAUACUGUUCCCCUGCAUCAUGCUGUCCCUCCGGACACAUGCUGUCCCCUGGUUGUAUACAGUUCCUCCAGACACAUGCUGUCCCCCCAGAUACCUGCUGUCCUUUGGGAUGCAUGCAGUCCCUCUGGAUGCAUGCUGUUCCCCCAGAUGCACACUGUCCUUCUGGAGGUGGUCUGUCCAGAAGCAUCCCUCCAGACACAUGCAGUCCCUCCAGAGGCACGUGGUCCCUCCAGACGUGUGCGGUCCCUCCGGACACAUGCCGUGUCCCUGGCCGUAUUCUGCCUCUCGUCCCACCGAGCAUGCAGAAGGCGUGCUGUGCCUGCUGCGGGCAGGACCCUGCUUGCACGAGCAGCGAGGCUGGGUGCAUGCCCAGCCUGAGCGGGUGAGCGGGGCAGAGCCCGUCCCUUUUGCAACCAGGCUGGAAAUGCCAGCGGCAGCCANNNNNNNNNNNNNNNNNNNGGAAUGCCAUCCUGGCCUUUGGCCGGGGCUUACCGAGACCUUGGGCACAGCCUGUCCUGCAGCAAGAGCUGCUGAGGCUGGCUCAUCCUGCAGCAGGCUGAACCCAAACCCUCUCCGGAGAGCAUCCCCUCUCGGAGCAGAGCAAGGAGGAGGGCAGCUCUCCCUCCCUGCUUCCCAGCAGGAAGGGGCACCUUCAUGGGGCACCUGGGUGAAAGCAGUUGCAUCCUUUUUUUUUUUUUGGCCUGGGUUCCCAUGUGCAAACCGGGGCCGCGCAGCACUCUCCUCCCUUGGCGGAGGCGGCAGCAUCGGCAGACGGUGCCGCGACGAGUUCCCGGCCUNNNNNNNNNNNNNNNNNNNNNNNNNNNNNNNNNNNNNNNNNNNNNNNNNNNNNNNNAAAAAAUGAGAAGGGUUCCUAGUCUGAGCAUUAAAAGAAAAAAAAACCUCAGAAAUCCAUGUUCUGCUGAGAAAUGGCUAUUUCUCUAGAAAC